rnacentral:rRNA from 1 species
UAGGGAAUCUUCGGCAAUGGACGAAAGUCUGACCGAGCAACGCCGCGUGAGUGAAGAAGGCUUUCGGAUCGUAAAACUCUGUUGUUAGAGAAGAACAAGGACGUUAGUAACUGAACGUCCCCUGACGGUAUCUAACCAGAAAGCCACGGCUAACUACGUGCCAGCAGCCGCGGUAAUACGUAGGUGGCAAGCGUUGUCCGGAUUUAUUGGGCGUAAAGCGAGCGCAGGCGGUUUCUUAAGUCUGAUGUGAAAGCCCCCGGCUCAACCGGGGAGGGUCAUUGGAAACUGGGAGACUUGAGUGCAGAAGAGGAGAGUGGAAUUCCAUGUGUAGCGGUGAAAUGCGUAGAUAUAUGGAGGAACACCAGUGGCGAAGGCGGCUCUCUGGUCUGUAACUGACGCUGAGGGUCGAAAGCGUGGGGAGCAAACAGG